AAGCUGGAAGACGAGGAACUCAUAUCGUUCAUCCUCACUGGACUAGACGCGGACUAUGAUCCAGUGGUGACCGGGUUCACCGGCCGCGUCGAGCCGAUCUCCGUCGCGGAGCUUUACGCUUAGCUUGUUAGCCACGAAC
rnacentral:snoRNA from 1 species